UUCUCUAGUAGGUCUGUGUCUUUAUUCCUGUCUUACCAGGAUCUAAUGAAACUUCAAAGCUUUUACACAGCAAAGGAAACCAUAAACAAGACCAAAAUACAACCCUCAGAAUGGGAGAAAAUAUUUGCAAAUGAAGCAACUGACAAAGGAUUAAUCUCCAAAAUUUAUAAGCAGUUCAUGCAGCUCAAUAACUGAAAAACAAACAACCCAAUCCAAAAAUGGGCAGAAGACCUAAAUAGACAUUUCUCCAAAGCAGAUAUACAGACUGCCAACAAACACAUGAAAGAAUGCUCAACAUCAUUAAUCAUUAGAGCAAUGCCAAUAUGUUUAGAAAGGGCUUCAGAGGAUGACCCGGCGUAGGUCAACUGGUCCCACUGAUCUUGGCCCAUCUUUCUGCCAUGGCUCAGUCCUGCUCUGCACCCGAGGUGGAUCCCAGCUGGACCUCCUGGCCCAUCAGAAAGCACCUGGAGAGCCUCUGGAUUUCAGAGCACAUCAGACAGGGAUGGCCUAGGGCACUUGGAGAGGCUGGAAGCAAGAGGACUUUCCUCGCUGCAAACAACACCCAGGGUCUGCAUCCUGGCCCAGAUGACAGCCUCACUGACAGGGGCUGCAUGUGGCCAUGGCAAGAGGAAGACAGGAGACAGAAGGAUCCAGGUUGGAAGCCGGUCGGCUCUUUCUUCACCCCCAGCAAGCCUGCUUUUCACUCCACUCAGCUGUGCCCUCAGGCCUGGGCCCAGCUGUUUCUCCGUUCAGUUUCCCGGGUGCCCAGGGCAUGACCCAAACCCUAGGGACCCCACAUGGGGAACUCACUUAUGCGAGGAGGUGGCAUAGUGUAGUGGUUAAUUCCGGAAGGACAGUGUGGGUUCAGAUCCCAGCUCUAUCCCUCAGUAGCUGUAUGACCCCAUGUCAGUGCCUGUCUAUGUGCCUCACUUUCUUCCUUUAAAAAAUGGGAAGGAUAAUGGUUCCCACCUUCUGGGGUUGUUCCAGUUAAUGUCAUUAAUGGAUUAAACGAGUUAAGACCGUAAGACACAGGGUCAGGUUUAUCAUAGGCACUCCCUUAUGUUGAUUAUAUCAUAAUUAAUUGUGAUUAAUUACAGGUGGGCCACCAUGACCUUCUUCAUUGCUCAAUAAGAUGAUGUACUUGCCAGGUGUUGCAAGGGUCCCGGGCAGGUUCUCUGAAUUCUUAUUCCUUCUUUUCUCCUUGCUGAAGGCCCUUUCCUCUCACUGUUGGUUGUCAGAGAUUCAGCCUUAAUUAAUAAAUCUGUAGAAAUGCAGUUAGGAGGGGAGACACGCUGGUCUAAGAUGUCGCCUUGUCUUGAAAGGCCCAGAAGCUGGGGUCAGGUCCUCCUUGGCCCCAGAGUUGGGAGUGGUGAUUACUGCCCAAAAGCCUGGUUUCUAAUGGUCCAGGCCCUAUAGGCCCUUCCAAGUUAGCCUACGUCCAUGGUAUGCUCCCCACCGCUGCAGAACCGGGAGAACUCACAAGGGGGAGCCCCCAGCCCAGCCACAACCAUCAGCCUGACCUGGAACAGCCAGUUUUUGCGCUUUCUCUUGCUCCUAAAUGAGCAUCACCCUUUCCCUCCUGAUUUGGAGAUAAUCUUUGUCUCCCUUUCUCUUUGGGUGUCUGUGAUGAGUAAUUUUUUUUUUUUUUGCCUUACGCGGGCCUCUCACUGUUGUGGCCUCUCCCGCUGUGGAGCACAGGCUCCGGACGCACAGGCUCAGCGGCCAUGGCUCACAGGCCCAGCCUCUCCACGGCAUGUGGGAUCCUCCCGGACCGGGGCACGAACCUGUGUCCCCUGCAUCGGCAGGCGGACUCUCCACCACCGCGCCAGCAGGGAAGCCCUGUGAUGAGUAAUUUUAUGUGUCAACUUGCCUGGGCCCCAGGGUACCCAGAUAUUUGGUCAUACGUUAUGAUGGGUGUUUCUGUGAGGCUGUUUCUGGAUGAGAUUAACAUUUAAAUCAGUGGCCUAAGUAAAGCAGAUUGCCCUCCCUACUGUGGGUGGGUCACAUCCAAUCAGCUGAAGGCCUGAAUAGAACAAAAUGGUUGACCAUCCUCUGAGUAAGGUAGAAUUCUCCUUGUCUGACUGCUUUCUGACCAGGAUGUUGGCUCUUUCCUGCCUUCCAACUGGAACUGAAGCAUUGGCUCUUCCUGGCCCUUGGCCUGCCAGCUCUUGGAAUGGAACUUAUAGCACUGGUUCUCCUGGUUCUCAGGCCUUCAGACUCAGCCUGGAGCUACACCAUUGGCUCUCCUGGAUCUCCAGCUGGCUGCACACCCUGCAGAUCUUGGGACUUGUCAGCCUCAAUGACUGUGAGUGUUCAUAAUGACUGCACAACAGACUGAGCUCCAAUGAGGAUGAAGCGUGGAGAGGAGAGUGAAGCGACAGGACAGUUGGAGGAACUGUGUCCUCUCCGCCUGGUGGGACCCUGGGGCCCAGGACUCCGGUCACCUGGACGCUGUCCCUGCUCUCAGGCUCAGAACUUCACCUGGCCACACCCAGUUCAACUCCGUGGCCUGCCCUGGAACCCCCUCGAUACCAGGACGCUCCACCUCUGUGUCCAGGACUCACAUUUGCUGAUUCCCCGGUGCCAGGGCAGUGAUUGUGCAAGGGCUGUGCUCAGAGAAACACAGAGUGGCUCAAGCCCGGCUUCACCCUCAGGCGGCUGGGAGGGGGGAUGGGAGCCCUCAUCUGCCUGGGUCUCCCAGACAGCAGCAGUCACUGGGGUUCAGGGAGAGGGCCGGGGCGGGAUGGCCAAUGAAGACAAGGACGGGCUCAUGAGCCGGGCUGAGACAGAGUGGGAAAUGUUGGUGGGGCAGCUUAGACACAGGGGCCUGAGCUCUCCAGAGGCUCUGAGGGUAGUAGGGACCCACCUACUCUCCCUUCACCCCCAGCUCCCAGAUAGUUCCUUACUUUCUUCUGGAAGGCAGUGGUUGAGGGCCAGGGCUCUGCCUUCACUUGGCCUGGGUUCAAACUCUGACUGUGCCACCUGCUGUGUGAUUUCAGCAAGUUACCCAACCUCUCUUAGCAUCAACAUCCUCAUCUGUAAGGGCGAUAAUAGCUCCUUCCUAAAUUGGGCCGAGGAAUGAAUGCGGGGUGUAAGAGAGGUGCUUUUCACUACCUGGCCCCUUGUAACAUUCACAUUAUACCAGGAGUGUGUAUUAUGGCUUCUCUUCUUUUUGAG